rnacentral:rRNA from 1 species
GACGAACGCUGGCGGCGUGCUUAACACAUGCAAGUCGAACGAUGAAGCCGGAGCUUGCUCCGGUGGAUUAGUGGCGAACGGGUGAGUAACACGUGAGCAAUCUGCCCUUGACUCUGGGAUAACUGCGGGAAACUGUAGCUAAUACCGGAUACGACACCUUGGGGCAUCCCAGGGUGUGGAAAGAAUUUCGGUCAAGGAUGAGCGCGCGGCCUAUCAGCUAGUUGGUGAGGUAAUGGCUCACCAAGGCGACGACGGGUAGCCGGCCUGAGAGGGUGACCGGCCACACUGGAACUGAGACACGGUCCAGACUCCUACGGGAGGUAGCAGUGGGGAAUAUUGCACAAUGGGCGAAAGCCUGAUGCAGCAACGCCGCGUGAGGGAUGAAGGCCUUCGGGUUGUAAACCUCUUUUAGCAGGGAAGAAGCGAAAGUGACGGUACCUGCAGAAAAAGCACCGGCUAACUACGUGCCAGCCGCCGCGGUAA